rnacentral:lncRNA from 1 species
CUCGUCUGUCGCCAUGUGAGAUGUACCUUUCACUUUCCUCCAUGAUUGUGAGGCCUCCUUAGCCACAUGGAACUGAAAUGCUGGAGUCCUUCAUCCGAAUGGUAAAUGGCACUUGUGACAAAAAUCAAAGUAACUAAAAAAGAAUCUGGUUGAAACCUCAGUAACAGUUGGCCUGUCUACUGCCUCACACUAACAAGGGGGAGCUAAUAAAACCGAGGUUAGAACACACAAUGUGGAAAUGAAAACCUUAUUCUUGUCAAUGGAUGGAGGUGACCCCCACCUUUACAAGUGUCUGUAAUUCUCACUAGCAGUAUAUUAGAGGGCAAAAGAUUUGAACAGACACAUCAGAAAAGAAGACAUACAAAUGGCCGCUAAGCACUUGAAAGGAUUCUGAACACCAUUAGUCAUCAGUGAAAUGCAAAUUAAAGCCAUAAUGAAUGGCGCUAUACAUUUUCAGAAUGGCAAGGAUUGAAGACCGAAAAAAAUCAAGCGUUGAGGAGAGUGACAAAUGGGGAGACAGCCGUGGUGCAUGAUCGCCGAAUAAAUACCAUGUGAGGAUACAGCAAGAAGGUGGCCAUCUACAAGCCAAGGAGACAGGCCUCAGAAGAAACCAACCCUUCUUACACCCUGGACUCAGACUUCUAAUCUCCAGAACUUGUUAAUGCACAAGGUCUUGUGUUGAAAAUGUAGAGCCACGAGAUAAAAGCAGCUUGGAUGGCUGACUCAUAUACAAGGACAACUGCCUGAGAGUCACCAGGGCUAUCAAGAAGUUUGCAGAAACAAGAAAUAAACUUUUACUGUUUUAAACUUUUGUGAAUUUUGGGUUUUGUUUAUCACCAAAUAAACCUAGUCUAUUCUGAUUGUUAUAAGUGGUUAAUUUGGGAAGUCAGAUAUAUUUAAAAUUGGCUUACUGCUGUAACAUAUACAGUCCAAAUUACAUAAUGGCUCAAAUGCAAUAGAAGUCUUUUUUUUUUUUGCUCACAUAUCACUUCACUGAGAUUCUGCAUUAAUUGUAAUGAUGAGGGUGAGGGUGUCU